rnacentral:rRNA from 1 species
AUGUUGGAUCGAACGGUGUUGUUUAGUUUUGCUUUACACAUGAGCGGCUUGAUGUGCUACAUCGUCUGCAAAUCGUCCGCCGUUUGUCGUCUGUGUAGCAGCGUUCAAAGGCGCCCCCCUUCCCCUCCCUUCCAGUCCACCCCACCACAACCCCCACUCGCCUCCGCUCCUAGGGUUUCCCGCCGCGCACCACCCCCAAAACCCUCGCUCCCCACCUCCCCGGCGAUCGGACCAAUGGCGGCAUCGGCGGCGGCGAAGAAGCUCACGCUCAAGAGCUCCGACGGCGAGGACUUCGAGGUGGAGGUGGCGGUGGCGAUGGCGUCGCAGACCAUCAAACACAUGGUGGAGGACGGCUGCGCCGACAACAUCAUCCCGCUCCCCAACGUCACCGCCAAGAUCCUCUCCAAGGUCAUCGAGUACUGCACGCAGCACGCCCCCAAGGCGGACGACGCCGCCGCCGCCGACUCCACCGGCACCGCCACCGCCGUCAAGCCCGACGAGGAGAAGCUCAAGGCCUUCGACACCGAAUUCGUCAAGGUCGAGCAGGCGACUCUCUUCGACCUCAUCCUGGCUGCCAACUACCUGGACAUCAAGGGGCUCCUGGACCUGACCUGCCAGACCGUCGCCGACAUGAUCAAGGGCAAGACACCGGAGGAGAUCCGCAAGACCUUCAACAUCACCAACGACUUCACCCCGGAGGAGGAGGAGGAAGUGCGGAAGGAGAACCAGUGGGCCUUUGAGUGA